GAGGUUAUAGCUCAGUUGGUAGAGUGCUUACCUUGAAUGCAUAAGACCUUGGGUUCAAUCCCUAGUGCCCCCC
rnacentral:tRNA from 1 species